UACGAAGGGGGCUAGCGUUGCUCGGAAUCACUGGGCGUAAAGGGCGCGCAGGCGGCCCUUGAAGUCAGGCGUGAAAGCCCCGGGCUCAACCUGGGAGGUGCGCUUGAUACUCGAGGGCUUGAGUGCGGGAGAGGAGAGUGGAAUUCCCAGUGUAGAGGUGAAAUUCGUAGAUAUUGGGAAGAACACCGGUGGCGAAGGCGGCUCUCUGGACCGUAACUGACGCUGAGGCGCGAAAGCGUGGGGAGCGAACAGG
rnacentral:rRNA from 1 species